GUCAGGGCUGGUGUCCGCUGGUCUUUCCACUUCAAGCUCACUGGCGUGGCUAGAGUUGAGUGGAGUAGUGAUCGAGCUGCGGAGGUUCAUGGCUGGGAUCUGCUCCUGGAGGGUCGUUGCCAUCUUGAAUUUGGGGUUUAUCAAUUUAUCAACUCAAUGUGUGUUUUUAUGUUUCUAGUACAUACGUAUUUAUCCACAAAAAUAGACGGCAUGUUUUAAUCUUUAUGUAAACGGUAUUCUCCUGUAACUAUUCCUGAAUUUCCUUUCAUCCCCCCUCAAUAUUUUUGAGAUUCAUUCAAGAUAACUGCUGUAUAAUAUUUCAUUUUGUGAUUACACUCCAGUUCAUUUAAACAUCCCUCUGUUCAAUAGAUAAUCACACAGUGAACAUUCUUGGACUUGCCUCCAAAUACACAGGUGUGAUAAUUUUUUAGGACAUAUUUCUAGGAGUGUACUUGCUGAAUCAUGGUGUACGCACAGCUUCACCUUUGCCAGACAGCGCUCCCCAGUGAUCAUAAAUCAUUUUACAUUCCUACCAGCAAUGUAUAAAAGUUCAUAUUGUUCUAUGUGGUUGCCAAACUUGAUUUACUUUAAUAAAGCUUUAAAAAGUUUCUUUUUAAACCAAG